rnacentral:rRNA from 1 species
AAAUGAAUUGACGGGGGCCCGCACAAGCGGUGGAGUAUGUGGUUUAAUUCGACGCUACGCGAAGAACCUUACCGGGGCUUGACAUCCUUCGCUAUCUGAUGAAAGUCAGAGUUCCCUUUGGGACGAAGAGACAGGUGGUGCAUGGCUGUCGUCAGCUCGUGUCGUGAGAUGUUGGGUUAAGUCCCGCAACGAGCGCAACCCUUGUCCUUAGUUGCCAGCGCGUAAUGGUGGGCACUCUAGGGAUACUGCCGGUGACAAACCGGAGGAAGGUGGGGAUGACGUCAAGUCAUCAUGCCCCUUAUGUUCCGGGCUACACACGUACUACAAUGGUCUGUACAGAGGGUCGCGAAGCCGUGAGGCAGAGCCAAUCCCACAAAGCAGAUCUCAGUUCGGAUUGCAGGCUGAAACUCGCCUGCAUGAAGUUGGAAUCGCUAGUAAUCGCAGGUCAGCAUACUGCGGUGAAUACGUUCCCGGGCCUUGCACACACCGCCCGU